rnacentral:rRNA from 1 species
CAGUAGCCGCGGGAAUACGAAGGGGGCUAGCGUUGUUCGGAAUUACUGGGCGUAAAGCGCGCGUAGGCGGACAUUUAAGUCAGGGGUGAAAUCCCGGGGCUCAACCCCGGAACUGCCUCUGAUACUGGGUGUCUAGAGUUCGGAAGAGGUAAGUGGAAUCGCGAGUGUAGAGGUGAAAUUCGUAGAUAUUCGCAGGAACACCAGUGGCGAAGGCGACUUACUGGUCCGAUACUGACGCUGAGGUGCGAAAGCGUGGGGAGCAAACAGGAUUAGAUACCCGAGUAGUCCCUGUCUCUUAUAU